CUACGGGGGGCUGCAGUGAGGAAUAUUGCGCAAUGGGGGAAACCCUGACGCAGCGACGCCGCGUGGAUGAUGAAGGCUUUCGGGUCGUAAAAUCCUGUCAGAUGGAAAGAAAUGUAAUCCUGCUAAUACCAUGAUUACUUGACGGUACCAUCAGAGGAAGCACCGGCUAACUCCGUGCCAGCAGCCGCGGUAAUACGGAGAGGUGCAAGCGUUGUUCGGAAUUACUGGGCGUAAAGCGCGCGUAGGCGGUUUGUUAAGUCAGAUGUGAAAGCCCAGGGCUCAACCCUGGACGUGCAUUUGAAACUGGCAGACUUGAGUAUUGGAGGGGGUGGUGGAAUUCCCGGUGUAGAGGUGAAAUUCGUAGAUAUCGGGAGGAAUACCGGUGGCGAAGGCGACCACCUGGCCAAAUACUGACGCUGAGGUGCGAAAGCGUGGGGAGCAAACAGGAUUAGAUACCCGCGUAGUC
rnacentral:rRNA from 1 species